CUGGAGUCUUCUGGGGAAGACCACAAGCUUUCUCGUCUUUGUGGUCCCAACGUACCAAAAAUGUGUCUGUUGUGGAAUAAAUUACCUGAAUUGAAAUGAGCACAGUGAUUCAUCACCAGAAGAUUUUGUCUGCAAGAGCCACACACGGAUUAACGCAAUUGGAAGGAACUGUUCUGAAGAAGAGGCCCAAGAGGAAGUUGCCAUGGAGAUGAGGAGGCUAAACACUACUGUACUUGUGACCUCCGCCAGGCUGAUUUCUCCAAAUGACAGUGGAGGUCGUGGGGGCACACGGGGGAGCUGGUUCUGCCCAUCGCUGCUCUGCAUCCAGCCCUGGGUGCUAGGUGGGACAUCCAGCUGGGGACCACAGCUGAGGAACUGACUCCAACAAUGCCAGUCGCUUUCAGAGUUACUACAGUGAAAAUAAGGAUGCCCAUGAAUGUCUAAUUUAUAAAACCAAAAUCAG